UACGAGGGGGGCGAGCGUUGUUCGGAAUUAUUGGGCGUAAAGGGCGCGUAGGCGGUGCGGUAAGUCACCUGUGAAACCUCUGGGCUUAACUCAGAGCCUGCAGGCGAAACUGCCGUGCUGGAGUGUGGGAGAGGUGCGUGGAAUUCCCGGUGUAGCGGUGAAAUGCGUAGAUAUCGGGAAGAACAUCGGUGGCGAAAGCGCUCUACUGGACCACAACUGACACUCAGGGACGAAAGCUAGGGGAGCGAAUGGG
rnacentral:rRNA from 1 species